CGCAGCCGCGGUAAUUCCAGCUCCAAUAGCGUAUAUUAAAGUUGUUGCAGUUAAAAAGCUCGUAGUUGAACUUCAGGCCUGUCCAGAUGGUCCGCCUUAAUUGGUGUGUACUGUCCUUGGGUGGGUCCUACCUUCUGGCGAAGCGGCAUGGCCUUAAUUGGUUGUGUCGGGGAACCAGGACUUUUACUGUGAAAAAUUAGAGUGUUCAAAGCAGGCAUUAUAUGCUCGAAUACAUUAGCAUGGAAUAAUGGAAUAGGACGAUGGUUCUAUUUUGUUGGUUCUAGGACCGUUGUAAUGAUUAAUAGGGAUAGUUGGGGGCAUUAGUAUUCAAUUGUCAGAGGUGAAAUUCUUGGAUUUAUUGAGGACUAACUACUGCGAAAGCAUUUGCCAAGGAUGUUUUCAUUAAUACAAGAACGAAAGUUAAGGGGAUCGAAGACGAUCAGAUACCGUCGUAGUCUUAACCAUAAACUAUAGCCGACUAGGAAUCGGGCGAUGUUGACAAAAUGACUCGCUCGGC
rnacentral:rRNA from 1 species